rnacentral:misc_RNA from 1 species
ACAGAAAUGAUUCACCAAAAUCCACGAGAAACACUAAAAACUUUAAAAAAUAACCCCAACACUCCCAUCGACUUCCGACAUCCAUAGUCAGAAUGAGCAUAUAACAACCACCACCCAUUGCUCUCGAUACAACAAAAAUAACAAAAAUAAGGCAAAUACUAAUAAAAGUAUUGAGGAUUUUUUUUUAAGGCUUUAAAUUUACCUUGACAUGUUCAGAACUAUUCAGCUAUUAAAUAUCAACCUUCCUUCUUAAAUAUCAGCACAAAGCACCUAAUAUGGAUAACGAAAG